rnacentral:lncRNA from 1 species
AUAUUGUUGGGAUUCUGUAACGGAAGCGUCGAAUCGGGUUUUUAUCACAAAUCCAUCUCCUCAGCAGAAGCUAAUAUAAUCACAAAAGAGAGAAAACACCAAACAGAAAAUAUGCGGGUAAAAUAAGAUUUAUUAAAUAAGAAAGUAUUACACUUGACUCCUCUUCUACAACUGAGUAGCUACAACCCAAACACUUUUUUUGAAUCUCUCCUACCCUUCUCUUGUUUUCUAUAAACCCACAAAGAAGACAACUCUCCACGUGCACCCGUGCACUAGCUGCACUUAGG